ACAACCCAGUCGAGCGGCAGCGGGUCCUUCGGGAUGCCGGCGAGCGGCGGACGGGUGAGUAAUGCCUAGGAAUCUGCCUGGUAGUGGGGGAUAACUCGGGGAAACUCGAGCUAAUACCGCAUACGUCCUACGGGAGAAAGCGGGGGAUCUUCGGACCUCGCGCUACCAGAUGAGCCUAGGUCGGAUUAGCUAGUUGGUGAGGUAAAGGCUCACCAAGGCGACGAUCCGUAGCUGGUCUGAGAGGAUGAUCAGCCACACUGGAACUGAGACACGGUCCAGACUCCUACGGGAGGCAGCAGUGGGGAAUAUUGGACAAUGGGCGAAAGCCUGAUCCAGCCAUGCCGCGUGUGUGAAGAAGGUCUUCGGAUUGUAAAGCACUUUAAGUUGGGAGGAAGGGCAGUAAGUUAAUACCUUGCUGUUUUGACGUUACCGACAGAAUAAGCACCGGCUAACUUCGUGCCAGCAGCCGCGGUAAUACGAAGGGUGCAAGCGUUAAUCGGAAUUACUGGGCGUAAAGCGCGCGUAGGUGGUUUGAUAAGUUGGAUGUGAAAGCCCCGGGCUCAACCUGGGGAAUUGCAUCCCAAAACUGUCUGACUAGAGUAUGGCAAGAGGGUGGUGGAAUUUCCUGUGU
rnacentral:rRNA from 1 species